rfam:Myotis brandtii contig274889, whole genome shotgun sequence.
UGCACCUCAGGUGACGCACCUCGGAAUCGGGCUCCCUCCUCUCUGAUUCCGGGGUGCGUCACCCAAGAACCGCC